rnacentral:lncRNA from 1 species
GGCCUUAAGAAGCGUCGUGCGUUUCCAUUUGCCUCCCUGUGCCUCUGUCAUCACAAUGAGAAGAAUAUGCCCUAACUGGCCCUGAGUCCCCGAAGAAGGAUUAGAGAAACGUGGAGCAGAGCCCCGAGUCUGAAGUGAGAGCUACCCCUAGCUGAUCCAUGAACUGAGCAAGGAAGUUGUUCACACAUGUAUGCCACUGAGACUUUGGCACUGUUCUUCUGUGGCACUAGUUGACCAAAACAGCUUUCUGCAAAUGGGAUGGGAGCAUCGCUAAUGCUCAGUGAUCUGGGAACAUGGCAUUAAUUGAUAAUGAUCAAGAAGACACUCUUUCACCACCAAUAUGAAACCCUGGGGAAGUCAAUUGAAGUGGAAAACUAUAUAUUUUGUGCAGAGGCUUCAAAGAAGGGGAAAUUAUGGUUUCAUUAGAUCAUCCCUCCAUUCUGCAAGCGUAGAGCAGGUCUGUGCAAUUGACUUUUUGAGGCCACUCUGUAAGCCUGCGCUGGGACGCAGUGAGCGCUUACCAUGAAACGGAUCAUUAAUUCUCCUCCUAUUUUGCUGCAUUGAAGCAGAAGAUGAUUAUUAACCUAGCAACAUGGGGAAACAGCUAAGGCUUUCUAAGCCCUUGGGAUGGAGAGACACUGCUAAUUAUGUGUGGCAAUCCGAUUUUUCUUCCUCUUUUAUAAAGGCAACGUUGUCCUCUUCGUCUUUCUAAGUCCUGUGCUGCGGCUAGCAGUGCAGUCUGAUGUAAGAAGGUGUGUCUGGUACUGGUCCAGGAAGAAAACACAGCAAAUAGCCCUGGAAAACAAGGAGCUUUAGCUUGAGGGUCCAGCGCCCCUCCCCCAGCUUUCAUCCCCGCUCAACCUCAGAGAUGAGCAAAUACAGCUUCAGAAGGGGCCGACCACUAAAAGGAGGACCACUGCAACAGGUGGAAUAAUUUCUAAACUCCUGUUGUCCUUCUUUGUUUGGAUAACUCCAUCCUUUUUCUCAGUCUAUCUGAAGGAGAUUGAACCGUGCCAUUAUUUAGUCUUAUUUUCUUUGGGACCUGGAAGGCAGCCUUGCUAUCAUUUACCUAGUUUUCAGCCAUGUGGACACAAAUCAAAACUCUAUCAGGAAAGUAAUAGGUGUCACUUGUCCCUGUUUUGAGGACUGAUGGAGGCUCAGCAGUCAUCCUGCCACAAGGAAUUGAAGGAAGUCAAUCUCUGUUUCAUUGUCCUGAAGCUAUUUCUCACCGAAGGGACGCUGGAUUUUUACCCACUUCGAUUAAUGAAAGAAACUUCUAGUUCUGGCACUCUUUGUUAGGAGGAAAGAUAAAUAAGGAAAGGAUUUACCUACAACCCGGCCUCGUGAUGAAAUAAUGAAUGGUCAGUGCCAGGAGGUUUUAGAAAGCAGGGUUCUUCCUUCUUCUCUCAAGUGGUCCAGAUGUUGGAACCUCACCUCUGGGAGGACGUGUUCCAAAGCACAUCCAGGUCUCCCAGUGGGAUCACGUGGAAACUUCAGUGGGCCCUGCUGUAUUCUAAGUGGGGGUGUCACUCUGAGGUUGUCAAAUCUCCCAGGGAACCAUGGGGUGAUGGUCUCUAUGCAUCCCGCCUGACGUGUGGUGGGCAUGAAUGCUGCCUUGUGUGGUACGGCAUAUUUGGUUUGCUUCCUAGCAGUGUUUAUCUGGCUUGUUUUUUUGUCCUUGGGAGUUUUGCUAAGAAUGGUGAUGAGUGGACAGUCAACAAUCCCGGAAUCUGGGUUAGAUAAACUCCAUGACUUGGACAGCUUCUACAAGUCUUCUCAAAAAGGGUCUUACGGCCUCAGAAAAUGAGCUUGAAAUGUAUUUUGGUCUCACUCAAAAGAAAUCCCCAAUUCUGCAGCUCUUUUUGUGACAAUAUCUUGCUAGCAGAGAGCACCCUUAGGACAGGACCUUCCUGGGAUGGCUCCCUUGUCCUCGUGCUCAGAAAGAAGUGGACAGCAAGUUGGGGUCAGUGAUCGCCUCUAUUCCGGGCUGUGGAUGAAGCAUUCUUCUCUGAGGUAGGGCAUCAGGGUGGGUAUAUCUGGGGAAAGAGGUGAGAUAAUGAGAUAAUAGCAGGCCAGUGGACCCGGAAGAAUCCUAAUUCCCCCUCAGCCCAUCUCCCCUUCCCCUGAGGUCUGCGAGGGAGGUACAUGCUCAGAGGACAAUCUCCUGGGGGAUCGGUGUAUCCCAGCUGCAGCUCUGAUCUCACGCGCUAAGCUCCAGCAUGGUCUUCAGAGCUGGCAAAGGUUGGAUCACGUGGUGAACCAACCUUGGCCUGAAAGAUUAGGCCAGAGAAACCAUUUUACCCUGAGGCUGAGAUGUAGUUGUUCCUGGUGUUCGUCCCAGGCCACCCAAAUGUCGGGGAAGCUCACCCGUGAACUUCUAACCUCAGCCCCAUGAGGAGAAGAAGACAAAGCGAGCUUAGAAAAGCCAAGGAGAGGUGGUGGUCUGGGAAUCCAGCCAAACUGCAAAGAAAAUCUCCCAAAGAGAAAAUCCAUACCCUCUGCUUGACCUUUAACUUCCUGACUUUAGGGCUGUAGCCCAGGGGACUGUUCGUUCAUUUCACCUACCUCUUCUUGUGUGAACUGGGGAAAGGGGGGUGGAUAGGGAGAUGCGGAGGGACAGGAGGCUUGAGGCAGCAGUCCCUCCAUCCUUGAUUUCUCUCUGAGAGGCCAAGGGGCUUAAUACUGGACUUGGGAUCAAGCAGGAGCAUUGCUUUUCCUCUAACUCCAGGAUGUGGGCAUGAGCAAUGUGUUAGGGGAGGCCUGCUCACAUCACCUUGGGUGUAGAUUCCCCAGUCCUUACCAACAUACCUGAGCCCCAUCAAGGACCGGUGAAUGCCUUUUUAAUAGUUCCGCUGAAAGACUUCAAGCUGACCAGAACACUCUUGCAGACAGGCUGCCUGGUGAACAUGUACGCACAAGGUGGGGAAGAGCUGUCUCUGCUCAUUUCAUCUAGUCCCAGGGUCCGCAGAGAUCCUCUAGGGGGUGGGGGCUCCCACAGGGGGACCCCCAGCACAUGACAGCACAAGUUAAAUAGUACAGUUCUGCAAAGGAAAAAAAAAUCUCACUUAUAUGUGGAAUCUAAAAAACAAACAAAGGAAAAACCAAACUCAUAGAUAUAGUGAACAAAUUGAUGAUUGCGGGGGGUUGGGGGUUGAGGGGAAUGGGCAGAAUGGGUAAGGGUGAUCAAAAGGUACAAACUUGCAGUUACAAAAUAAAUAAGUCACGGGGAUGCAACGUACAAUGUGGCGACUAUAGUUAAUAAUACCAUAUUGUGUAUUUCAAAGUUGUUAAGAGAGUAAAUCUUGAAAGUCCUCAUCACAGGGAAAAAGAUUUGUAACUAUGGGUGGUGGUGUCUGUUAACUAGACUUAUUGUGGUGAUCAUUUCACAAUAUAUACUAAUACAGAAUUAUUAUGUCGCACACCUGAAACUAAUAUCAUGUUAUAUGUUGAUUAUAUCUCAAUAAAAAAAAUGACACAGAACCAC